GAAGGAAAUCAACCCAGAGAGUAAACCAGAAACAAGAGACUCAGAGUGAGUCCUCCACACAGCCCUGGACACCCUGGCUCUGGUUUCCAGGCAAAUGCCAGGCUUGUUUAUUUACUUCUCUUUUCAAUUCCAUGAGCCGCCCCAGGAGUCUGCAUUACAUGGUGGAGAGUCUAAAGGAAGAGCUCACUCUGCCAUGAUGCUGAUGUCACCUGCUGAUUCUUUUCUUUUGAAGAUUAUUCAGCCUCUUGCUUCUCCCUCCACUUCUUCCAACCUUUUAGACAUUUCAUGGCUUGAGAGAAUCACCAUAAGAAGAUGGAGAUGAUGGGAAGCACACUGAGUUGUAGCAGCUACGUCUCUUACCAGUUCUGUGACUUGGGCAAAUUCACUUGAGCUUCCUGAACCUUAGUUUCUUUAGCCAUAAAAUGGGAUCAUAAUUAUACUUAGUGACCUGAUAUUGCAUGUGAAGCAGCUGGGCCAGGGCCUGUUUGAUAGUAAAAGCUGCAUAAAUGUGACGUUGUCAUCAUUAUCUCCAUGGCCUGGCUGACAGGACCACAAGAAAGGAAAAGAGACUGAAAUCUUUUAUAUUCUUCUUAACUCUCUGGAAAAAGGAUUUAACACUCUGGUGAAAGAGCAUAAAAUUAAUAUGACUGGUUGGUCAAAAUGAGA
rnacentral:lncRNA from 1 species